AGGGAAUUAUCGGAGGAAAGAUGUCUCAUCUUGAGGAAUUGUAUUACAUCGGAUGCCCCCCUUCUCUCAGGUUCUCUCCAAAUGGUCGGCUUCCUGAUUCCCUUAAGAUUCUUGCAGUUGACUACUGGACGACACAAUCAUUAAACUCCCUUUAUUAUGGGCUUUCUCAUCUCACACAACUAAGAAUAGACGAACUAGAGUCGUUUCCAGAGAGGGAAUUGCCCAUCCCUACUCUUAUCUCUUUAAAGAUUUCCUACUGUGGAAGACUGAGAUCUCUAACCAAUCAUAUGCAAGACCUCCAGUGUCUCCAAAGUUUACAGAUAUGCUGCUGUGAUCAAUUUGAGUUGUUUCCAGAAAUGGGAUUGCCCAACCCCAAGCUUGUCUCUUUGAAAAUUAUGUUCUGUGAAAAUUUGAGGUCUCUACCCAGUCAGAUGCAAAAUCUCACUUCCCUUCGAUAUUUAGAGAUAUCAAAUUGCAGAGUGUCAUUUCCAGAAGGCUGUUUACCUCCAAACCUAGCUGAGCAUUCAUAUGUGUGAAUCUGACACAGCCAAUUCCAGAGUGGGAACUUGACGGUCUAGAAAAUUGG
rnacentral:misc_RNA from 1 species